AGAGUUUGAUCCUGGCUCAGGACGAACGCUUGCGCGUACCUAAAAUAUGCAAGUCGAGCGGAUCCCCUUUCCACCGGGCAUCUUCACGAGUGGGCGCUUGGUUGAAUUUGUGCCUGUGCGCUUUCUUUUCUAGGGUGUCGGGUGGAGAGGGGGUUAGCGGCGAACGGUCGCGUAACACGUAGGCAACCUGCCCGAAAGACCGGGACAACGCCUCGAAAGAGACGCUAAUACCGGAUGUGGCCGAGAGGAGACCUCUCUUCUCGUCUAAAGCAUUCAUGGCUUUCGGAGGGGCCUGCGGCCUAUCAGCUAGAUGGCGAGGUAAUGGCUCACCAUGGCGACGACGGGUAGCUGGUCUGAGAGGGCGAUCAGCCGGACUGGGACUGAGAUACGGCCCAGACUCCUACGGGGGGCAGCAAUUAGGAAUCUUGCGCAAUGGGGGCAACCCUGACGCAGUAACGCCGCGUGGAGGAGGACGGCCUUCGGGUUGUAAACUCCUUUUGACGAGGAAGAAGCAAGUGACGGUACUCGUCGAAUAAGCCCCGGCUAACUCCGUGCCAGCAGCCGCGGUAAUACGGAGGGGGCCAGCGUUGUCCGAAGUUACUGGGCGUAAAGCGCGCGUAGGCGGGGGAUUAAGUCCGCUGUGAAAGCCCGAGGCUUAACCUCGGUAGCGGUGGAUACUGGUCUUCUUGAAGAUGCUAGAGGGAGAUGGAAUUACCGGUGUAGCGGUGAAAUGCGUAGAGAUCGGUAGGAACACCCAUGGCGAAGGCAGUCUCCUGGGGCAGUCUUGACGCUGAGGCGCGAAAGCUGGGGGAGCGAACGGGAUUAGAUACCCUAGUAGUCC
rnacentral:rRNA from 1 species